rnacentral:rRNA from 1 species
GACGAACGCUGGCGGCGUGCUUAACACAUGCAAGUCGAACGAAGAGCGAUGGAAGCUUGCUUCUAUCAAUCUUAGUGGCGAACGGGUGAGUAACGCGUAAUCAACCUGCCCUUCAGAGGGGGACAACAGUUGGAAACGACUGCUAAUACCGCAUACGAUCUAACCUCGGCAUCGAGGAAAGAUGAAAGGUGGCCUCUAUUUAUAAGCUAUCACUGAAGGAGGGGAUUGCGUCUGAUUAGCUAGUUGGAGGGGUAACGGCCCACCAAGGCGAUGAUCAGUAGCCGGUCUGGGAGGAUGAACGGCCACAUUGGGACUGAGACACGGCCCAGACUCCUACGGGAGGCAGCAGUGGGGAAUCUUCCGCAAUGGACGAAAGUCUGACGGAGCAACGCCGCGUGAGUGAUGACGGCCUUCGGGUUGUAAAGCUCUGUUAAUCGGGACGAAAGGCCUUCUUGCGAACAGUAGAAGGA